UACGGGAGGCAGCAGUAGGGAAUAUUGCGCAAUGGACGAAAGUCUGACGCAGCAACGCCGCGUGGGUGAUGGAGCAUCUUGGUGCGUAAAACCCUGUCAGUGGGGAAGAACCGUACAAGGAGUAACUGCCUUGUGCCUGACGGUACCUACAGAGGAAGUCCCAGCUAACUCCGUGCCAGCAGCCGCGGUAAU
rnacentral:rRNA from 1 species